AUGGAUGGAUGGACAGAUAGAUGAUGGAUGGAUAGAUGGAUGGAUGGAUGGAUGGAUGGAUGGAUGGAUGGAUGGAUAAUUGGAUGUGUCAGCAAUGACAAGCAAGUCCAAAUCCCAUUUAACAUAGAAGGUCUGUGCCCUGGGAUCCUGAAAAUAGCCUGUGCUGGUGGCCUUCACCUGGGCCUCCCUCCUGCUCCUUGUAGCUUAUCAGCCACAUUCCCUGGGAAGGCAACGUGCCUGUCUAGCCCUUGACACAUUGAACUACAGACCCAGAUUUAUGUCUCAACCUGGAGCACCCUGAGGGUGGCAAGUCUGGUCCUCUCUGGCGCCACUCAGGGUCCAGACCAAGGCCAAGCCAAGAGCAAGGACUUGGUGAGCAAACACAUGGAGCUGGGAUCCAGGAGGCUUUGGGUUUGAGCUCUGUUUACAGCAGCAGAGCCAGUGCCCACCCUCUUGCCUUGCCAGGUCCCUCUCCCUACGAUUCUGUCAGGACUCCUUUAGAGAUGGGGGUCCUUUGGGUGUCUAAAUUACUAUAAGGGCCCCAGCCCCGUCCCUGGGCACCUGUCACCUCAUCCUCCCCAAGGCAGCCUCAGACCUCAGAGAGGGCACCCCCAUUGCCCCUGUCCUGACCCUGAGAGUGUGUGGGAGGGGAAGGCAUUGGCUCAGCCCCCGUCCAUGCAGGCAUGGGCCUGGCAGACUCACAGUGUCUUGCAGGUUACCGGGAGCCACUUCCCUGGCUGGUGCUGGACCUGUCGCAGGAGGACCUGGAGGAGGAUGCCCCAGGAGCCAGCCUGUGGCCCACUACCGUCACCCUUCUCACCCUCUUCCUACUGAGUCUCUUCUACAGCACAGCACUGACUGUGACAAGCGUGCGGGGCCCAACUGACAGCAGAGAGGGCCCCCAGUACUGAGCAGAAGCCAGCCAGACACAGGGAGGAGUCUGGAGGAGCCUCCUGGAAGCCCAGCUGGAUGUCAGAGCUCAGCCCUGCUCAGAAGCUGCCCACCCGCCCCACACACAGGCCUUGCUGGUGCAAUAAACUGAUCUCAAAGGCAAA